CUUUCCUCUUCUUAUAAUUCGUUUCCAUAUUUCUUUUUUCUGGCGAUUUCUAAAAUUUUUUCUCGCAGAAUCUUGCUUAUGAGGAUGAAAGGAGGAUUUUCCCGUUUCAGGGGUAAAGAAUUCUCUCUUCUUCUCAUUGUUAUUUUGGGCACAACCAUUCUCAUAUGGGCAUGGGAUAGAGCCCCAUUUGUUACUACCUUACUUCCACCUAAAGAGCAGUUCCAGCUACCUCAAGCAUCUUCAGAACCACAUUUUCAAAUUAGCAAAGAUGUAGAUGUGGCUGAUCAGAAUCCUGCAGGCAACUAUUUUCCAAGAACUCGUGUUCAAGAUAAAGAAACUCCCCCAGCUACAGAACAUACAGAAGCAAAAAAUAAACAAGUACUGGAAGUUGGAAAAAUUGGCAGUGGAGAAAGUUCUCCUUUGUCCAAAGCCAAAGAAAAUGCUAGCUCUUCUGUAACAGAAACAGAAGCUAAAGACAAUCUGGUGGUGGAAUUUGGAGAAAAUGGAAGUGCAGAGGGUUCUAUUGUGACAGAAACAAAAGGAAAGCAUGACCAGAAUGAAGGAGAAAAAGAUCUGAAACAAAAAGGGCAAACCCUGGAUUUAGCAAUACCAAUGGGUUAUGCAAGUGCAAACUCUUCCCUCAAGGAACAAGAUGAGAAGAAUAUUACAGUGCUUGUGAAUAACGAAGCCUGUAAUUAUGCAAAAGGGAAAUGGGUUGUAGAUAACAGUCGGCCUUUGUAUUCUGGUCUUGGCUGUAAGCGAUGGCUUGCACAAAUGUGGGCCUGCCGGUUGAUGCAACGCACAGAUUUUGCCUAUGAGAAGCUGCGAUGGCAACCAAACAAUUGCCAAAUGGAAGAAUUUGAAGGGGCCAAGUUCUUAAAAAGGAUGCAAGACAAGACUCUAGCUUUUGUUGGAGAUUCAUUGGGCCGACAACAGUUCCAGUCUCUAAUGUGUAUGAUCACAGGUGGAAAUGAUAGGCAUGAUGUCAUUGAUGUGGGAGAGAAGUAUGGACUUGUCAAACCUCGGGGUGGUGUCCGCCCUAAUGGGUGGGCAUAUUGGUUUCCAAGCACCAACACUACUGUGCUUUAUUACUGGUCAGCUUGCCUCUGUGACUUGGAACCUAUUGAUAUAAAAAACCCAGCCACUGAUUAUGCCAUGCAUCUUGAUCGGCCACCUGCUUUUUUGCGCUUGUUUCUUCACAAAAUAGAUGUCCUUGUUCUCAACACAGGGCAUCAUUGGAACCGAGGGAAGCUUAGGGAAAAUCGCUGGGUCAUGCAUGUGGGUGGUAUGCCCAACAGCAACAAGAAGCUGGCAAUGAUUGGAGAUGCCAAAAAUUUUACAAUCCACAGCAUUGUUGACUGGGUGAACAAACAACUUCCAAAACAUCCACGCUUGAAAGCCUUCUACCGGAGCAUCUCACCUAGGCAUUUUGUUAAUGGCGACUGGAACACUGGGGGAAGCUGUGACAAUACAACCCCCAUGUCUGUUGGAAAGGUAGUAAUGCAAAAUGAUUCUAGUGAUUAUAGUGCUGGUAGUGCAGUGAAAGGGACGGGGGUUAAGCUCUUGGACGUAACAGCUCUGUCUCAGCUGAGAGAUGAGGGCCACAUAUCACGAUUUAGCAUUACUGCCAAACCAGGAGUGCAGGAUUGCUUGCAUUGGUGUCUACCUGGUGUUCCUGACACAUGGAAUGAAAUCCUUUUUGCGCAAAUUAGUGAUAUGUCAAAGGUGCAGGAUGAAUAAUAUUCUUUUAUGGUUCAAGUCAAUAUCACCAUCAUUACUACAGGUAAUACAUGGUUCGGUGAUUUCAUUCAACAGUUUCAGGUUGGAGUGUUUUUUUUUUUUUUUAGGCAUUUCUGCCAAUUGCGGCAAAUGUAGGGAAGAGCAUUGGAUCAAGAGGUAGUAGUAGGCAACUAGUAGUAGAAAGAGCCGUGGAAAUUUUGGAUUAGUGUUCUACAGUUGAUGAUUGUAUACAAAUAGAUACAAGCAAUUUCCACACAAUAGCAGUGUAUACUGUUGGGGAUACGUAUCUGUAACAUGCAUUCAAAUCAUCAUAUGGAAACAAACAGUAUGGAAUUUUGUUAUUGGGCUAAGUUCUCAUGACCAUAUUGUUUUUCCUUGGCCUCUGUAGCCGCACGCGUAAACUUGGAAAGAUAUACGUUUAUUAUGCUUUCGGUUAGAUAAAGAAAGGCACCUGGGAAACUUCUCAUUCAUGGGGGUUGAGCAGUGCCGGGCCCCAGAUAAUGUUGAUCUUGGGUGGAGCUCAUAUGGAUUUCUCAUUUUGUGUAGGAUUCACGCGGAAUGUUGUAAUUACAGUGGCAAGGGAAAGGGUCAAGUAGCCGAGCUCGAGGUUAGAUCUAGUCGCGGUUGGAACAAGUGGUUUUGAUUUGUGGCUCAAUAAAAAUUAAAACAUAUUGAGGGUUUAUUUUUUU
rnacentral:misc_RNA from 1 species